GCGAGAGUGGCGGAAUUGGUAGACGCCCGGGAUUUAGGUUCCCGUGCCGCAAGGCGUGCGAGUUCGAGUCUCGCCUUUCGCACCA
rnacentral:tRNA from 3 species